CCUUACCGCACGGUAUAUCACAACGAUGAUAUUUACAAUUUAUCAACGUUGUUAGCAGAUCAUGCGCAAACUUUGCGUAUGGCUGUUGGAAAGGGAUUUCGGCAUCAACGAUAGAUCGAUUGCGAUCCUGCAUGAUGUUCUCUUUUGGCCGAGUACAGUGAAAGACGUCUCUUAAACUCGCGAUUUACUUAGGCAUUUAAGAUUGGGCGAAAAAUUUAGCCAUCUUAAACUCGAUUCUUCUUAGGAAAGAGAAAUCUGUCAGAACUUGAGAAGAAGAAAUUAAAUUGAUCUAACGUAACUGCUAGAAAUAUAAUUAGGACAACACACAAAAAGAUGGGUUUUAACACAAGCUUGUUAUUUCUACUUAUUACCUUCAGCAUAUUGACGCAUGAGACACUAGCGUACCUUAUUUGGCCUGAUGAUGCGUGUUACUAUGCUCAUUAUCAUGACAAAGAUAUUUGCAACGGAACUCAGCAGAGAUGGUACUAUGAUUGGGUGACAAACAGAUGUCAUCCUUUUCUGUAUGGGGAAUGCGAAGGAAGUGCAAAUAGAUUUCUCUCUGAGUCGGACUGCCUUUACGCAUGUUUACCCCACUUACUUAAUCUAUUUCUAGUCAUCGCACGUCUAUUCAAGUAAUUUAUGUAUUGAUAAGUAUUUGUGAUAAUUUGAUAUUGAAUUUCAACAGACGUACUAAAUGAAAAACUCUGUGAGGUCUUUUUAAAAUGCAAUUGCAAAUUUGUUUUAUUUUACAAUAAUGACCAAUUAAAUGAAAUGUACGGAUGUAUAUAUUUUAUAUAUUUAUAUACAUUUUAAAAACACCGCGAUGUGAAUAUAGAAUAAAAAGAAUUAAGAUAACAGUUAAGCGCGUGUGCUAAUAUAAUAAUAUUGCUAUAAUAAAUAACGAGAGGAGCGCCAGAGCGAUAUUUCCGUAUUCAACAGCAUGUCACGAAGGUCGUUGAGUGUGGAAAGAAGGAUAACAAUCUUGAUUAAGUAAUCGUAUACCCACUCAUGAAAUAAAGCAGCAUUAAAAAUGUUUUACAUAUAUAUAUAUGUAAAGAGAGGAGAUAUAUGUAAUUGAAAAAAAGUACUUCUUA